AACGCACAUUGCGCCCUUUGGUAUUCCGAGGGGCACGUCUGUGUGAACGUCAUUUAAACACCCAAGCCCUGCUUGGUGAUGGAGGCGGCAUCUGGCCGUCGUCCGCAAUCCGUCGGCUGCGGCGCCCGUCCGUGAAAGUAGUGAGACACAUCUUUCUGCGGAUCGUCUGGCAAGCUCCCGCAGGCCCAACGAACAACCCCUUCAGACUUGACUUCACAUCAGGCGAGGUUACCCGCUGAACUUAA
rnacentral:misc_RNA from 1 species